rnacentral:misc_RNA from 1 species
GAAAUGCGAUAAGUAAUGUGAAUUGCAGAAUUCAGUGAAUCAUCGAAUCUUUGAACGCACAUUGCGCCCCUUGGUAUUCCGGGGGGCAUGCCUGUUCGAGCGUCAUUUACACCACUCAAGCUCUGCUUGGUCUUGGGGCCCACCGGCUAUCUGGUGCCCCCUAAACUCAGUGGCGGCCGUGUUGAGCGUCCAGCGUAGUAAUAAGCCUCGCUGCGGUGCCGGGACGUGCCGACCAUCAAGCCUCUAUCUCAGGUUGACCUCGGAUCAGGUAGGAAUACCCGCUGAACUUAA